UUGUCUGCCACAAACAAUCGAACACCGAUAAAAAAAACCAAAAAAAUGCGCACAUUCAUCAUUGUCGCUCUCUUAGCGGUGGUCGCAGUGGCUGCCGCUCAAGGACCUGGUGGUGGUCGUGGGGGUCGUGGGGGUCCAGGCGGACCUCGUGGCGGUCCUCCUGGUGGUCGUGGAGGUCCAGGAGGUCCCGGAGGUCCUGGAGGUCCUGGAGGUCCGGGAGGUCCAUGGGGUCCAUGGGGCCCAGGCGGUCCACGUAACAGCACAACAACCACGACCACAACAGCGGCAAGCUCCGCCAGCACAGAGGCGAGCACCGAGGCGAGCACAGAGGCGAGCACAGAGUCGAGCACAGACGCCUCAACCGAUGCCAGCACCUCGGGAACCUAUUAACAUGCUCCAGAUCUGGCUUAGUGCUCUGCUCCUAGGCUAUUUCCGAGUAAAUUUCCAGUAAUUAAUAAAAAUGCACGUACAUUUUCGCACAUUGAA